rnacentral:rRNA from 1 species
UACGUAGGGUGCGAGCGUUAUUCGGAAUUAUUGGGCGUAAAGGGCGCGUAGGCGGCUUUGCAAGUGACGGGUGAAAUCCCGGGGCUCAACCUCGGAACUGCCUUUGAUACUGCAAGUCUUGAGUCCGGAAGAGGUGAGUGGAAUUCCUAGUGUAGAGGUGAAAUUCGUAGAUAUUAGGAAGAACACCAGUGGCGAAGGCGGCUCACUGGUCCGGUACUGACGCUGAGGUGCGAAUGCGUGGGGAGCAAACAGG